CGAGAAGCGAACCUGCGAAGGCAAGCGGAUCUCUUAAAGCCGUUCUCAGUUCGGACUGUAGGCUGCAACUCGCCUACACGAAGCUGGAAUCGCUAGUAAUCGCGGAUCAGCACGCCGCGGUGAAUACGUUCCCGGGCCUUGUACACACCGCCCGUCACACCAUGAGAGUUGGCAAUACCCAACGUACGUGAUCUAACCCGCAAGGGAGGAAGCGUCCUAAGGUAGGGUCAGCGAUUGGGGUGAAGUCGUAACAAGGUAAC
rnacentral:rRNA from 1 species